AGAGAGUUAGUCCAAUACAAGACCUCUGAUUUCGGCUCAGAAGAUCGCGGUUUAAUUCCACGGCUCUCUU
rnacentral:tRNA from 1 species